CCCACGAGCGUUCGCCCAGGGCAGUUAACGCCUGCGCUUGAGACCUGACGUCCGGCCUGGCGGCUUUGAAGAGGUGAGAGUGCGUGCGUCAGGGGAUGGAACUUGCAACCUUGGUGUAUUGGGACGAUGCUCUAACCAAGUGAGCUAUCUGGCCAGGGAGGCCCUUUUCAACUAUGAUUCUGCACAUCUGUCACUCUCACAUCUCUGAUUCCUUUCAUUGGUAUCCAGGAGAACUACUUCCCAGUGAUAUGAAAAGAAAUGGAAUCUGAUCUCGGUUGGAAAUGGCAACCAGUGAGCCAGUUCAUGAAGCGAAUGAUGGCUGCAACAAAGAGUCCCCAGGCACACUCAUCCCCAAGCAAGGAAUCCACACAGAGACAGAAAUCAGCCCUUCACAACAACAGCCUUGACUAUGAAGCUUCCCACCAGCGCUUCAGGCAGUUCUGCUACCAGGAGGUAGCUGGCCCCCAUGAAGCCUUUAGCACACUCUGCGAACUCUAUUGACAGUGGCUGAGGCCUAAGACACUCAAAAGAGAAAAUCCUAGAGCUGCUGAUUUUGGAGCAGUUUCUCACAAUCUUGCUGGAGGAGCUCCAGACCUGCGUGAAGAAACAGCGUCCAGAAAAUGAGGAAGCUGUAGCUCUGGUUGAGGAUGUACAGAGAGUACCUGGGCAACAGCCUGGCUUACUCCACAGGCUACCAGGAACCAUCUCCAGAAGAGGGGUCUUCAAAACCAGAUGUUGCUGAGCUCUGUACCACUGAGAUCAGGUUCUGAGAUGAAGAAUGGGGUUACAAAAGAGAAUCUAAAAUGGGAUAAUUCAGAAGUAGGAGAAAUGAAUAAGAAUUUAUGGAGAAAGUUUAGUAGAAAAGUUUUUUGGCAUUUUGAGUUCAAAACAGGCUAGGAGCGGAACCAAUGACAAGAAAGCAACAUAGACAUUGACCAGGGGAGAGUGAGGAGACAGCUCCAUCCUAGGAGAGGAUGAGUCACCAGAGAUUUUGAACUGAGAAGCCCUGGACACAUCUCUUGUGUGGGAGAGAAUACUCUCAUAGUUCUCUCUCCUCUCAUCACCAGCCAGCCCCUGAACUGGAAAGAGCUUAUAAAUGUCAUGAAUGUGGGAAAAGCUUUAGCCAAGUUUUUUACCUUGUUCGGCAUCAGAAUUCACACAGGAAAGAAGCAUCACUAGUACUGUGAAUAUGGGAAAGGCUUCAGUGAACAUUCCAACCCCACUGCCCACCUGAGGACUCACACAGGGAAGAGACCAUACCAGUGUGGGGAAUGUGGGAAAAGCUUCAACCAGAGCUCUAGCCUCAUUGUUCACCAGAGGACCCACACUGGGGAGAAGCCUUAUCAGUGCACUGUCUGUGGGAAGAGAGUCAACAAGUUUCCAUUUAGUGCUCACUGGCAAGUCCACAUUGUGGAGGGCCUGUACCAGUGUGGGAAAAGCUUCAAGAACAGCUCCCACUUCAGUGCCCACCAGGAAACCCACACUGGGGAAAAGCCACAUAAGUGCUUCCAGUGUGAGAAAAGCUUCCCUCAUCUGCCAUCGGGAUAUACAUAGAAGAGAUACAUUACAGGAAGCAAGAGAUGUGACAAAUAUGUAGAAAACCUGACAUCAACUCCUUAGGUCAACAUGUGUUUCUGAGAGCUUUCCUCUGUGGAUAGUUCUACUAGCCAAUCCCUGGCUCAGCAGUAAACUUGACAACUGGAUCUCAAGAACCAUGUCCAGGAAUAUGAAUCAAUCUAAGAAUGCAGAGCCCUCUUUCUAUUUCUGCCUAGGACUUCACAGUCCUGUCUCACUGUGGAUUUCCAUUUUGCUUUGAAGAGGAGAAUGAUAUAAAACCCAUAAUUCCUGAUGGGAAACUACGGUAUCCUUGUUCUGAACAAAGAAAGUAUAGCUAGUGGCCUGAGAACUGUUUCUGAGCCAUAUCAGGGAAGAAAUACUGUCCCCUCCUGGGGAGUACAUCUAGAAUUUUAAUAGCCUGGAUCUGUUCUAAGCCAAUAAUUGACUACUAGGUACCUACUGCUAUAUACAAUUGCAACCUUCAGGUCAUAUUCUGUAACAGAGCCAUGAACAAAGGAAAGAAAGGAUAGGUUAAGCCAUUGGGUAAUAUGAAAUCAAAGCAACCUAAUCGUAAGCAAGUGUAAUAUCUAGGUUAAUUUUGUAAGAUUUCUCAUCUCACCAUCACUCCCAACCCAGUUUUUGGUUUCUUCUUCCGUUGCAUUUAUACAAGUUUAUAAGCAUUAUUAUCUUUGAUGAAAAUAAAGUUAUUUCUCCCUCCCCUU